UACGAAGGGGGCUAGCGUUGCUCGGAAUUACUGGGCGUAAAGGGCGCGUAGGCGGUCUUGCAAGUCCUGUGUGAAAUCCCUCGGCUCAACUGAGGAACUGCACAGGAAACUGCUUGGCUUGAGUUCGGGAGAGGGAAGCGGAAUUCCGGGUGUAGCGGUGAAAUGCGUAGAUAUCCGGAGGAACACCGGUGGCGAAGGCGGCUUCCUGGACCGACACUGACGCUGAGGCGCGAAAGCUAGGGGAGCAAACAGG
rnacentral:rRNA from 1 species